rnacentral:rRNA from 1 species
AACGAACGCUGGCGGCAUGCCUAACACAUGCAAGUCGAACGAGACCUUCGUGUCUAGUUGCGCACGGGGGCGUAGCGCGUGGGAACCUGCCCGUAGGUUCGGAAUACCUCCCCGUCAGGGGUGCUAAUGCCGGAUAAUGUCUGCGAACAAGAGAUCCAUCGCCUUUGGAUGGGCCGGAGUUGGUUUAGCUUGUUGCUAUGGUAAAAGCCUAUCACGGCGAGGAUCGAUAGCGGGGCUGAGAGGAUGAGCCGCCACACUGGGACUAGGACACGGCGCGGACUCCUACGGGAGGCGGGAGUGCGGAAUAUUGGACAACCGGGGAGGGGCUGAAGCAGCAAGGCCGCGUGAGUGAUGUAGGUCGUAGGGAUGUAAAGCACUUUUAUCCGGGAUGAUAAUGACAGUACCGGGAGAAUAAGCACCGGCUAACUUCGUG